GGAGAGGAAAAUGUAGAAACUUUUGUGUUUACUCAGCUUAUAGCCCUCAUCAUGAAUAUUUUCUAUUUAAAAAGAAAUAUUUCCUUGGUAGUUUAUCUCCAGUGCUUCUGAUGCAUUGGUCAAGAUUCAUUAUGAAAGCUUUACAGACCCUUCCAAGUUGGACAGUCAUAAAGAGAUGAAAAUUGCAUGAUCACCAAACCUCAGGAGUGUACCUUGGCAAUUAUUGUUAGUCUGGCACAAAAACAUUUAUUGCUGCUUUCCAGGAUGAUGCAGACAUCUCCAUGAUUGAGCAAUUAGGUAUUGGAUUCUCUUCACCCUAUGUUGUAGCAGAGAAAGUGGUUGUGAUCACAAAAGUCAACAAUGAGUGGAAUGCCUGGGACUUUUUUCCACAUGGAUACUAUACAAAUUAUGAAGACCGUGGUAAACUCAUGGCUGUAGUACUAAUGUGAUUUUUUGCCUCAAAGAAGACUAAACAGAAUAAAUAGGAGAGGAGUGCCAAGAAAAUCAUGAAGAAAAACUCACAGUUCAUGGACUACCUCAUUCCCUGUAUGUAGAGGAGAAGAAUGAUUGAAGGAUAUCAGAUAUGAUGAAGUAGAACAAGAGAAAACUGUGAAAGAUAAAGAUGAUAAGGAAAAGCCUAUCCAUGAAAAUGUCAGAUCAGAUGAGUAUUUGAUUCAAAAAGAUAAUAAAAACAAGGAAGGAAGGAAGGAAGGAAGAAAGGAAGGAAGGAAGGAAGGAAGGAAGGAAGGAAGGAAGGAAGGAAGGAAGAAGAAAGAAAGAAAGAAAGAAAGAAAGAAAGAAAGAAAGAAAGAAAGAAAGAAAGAAAGAAAGAAAGAAAGAAAGAGAAAACCAAGUGUAAUUUGAUCAGAAAAGGUUGAAUACUAUUUUGCCUAUUUGAUACAUGAACACUGAUGACAUUACCUAAGAAAAAUAUUAUAAAUUCUGUAAGAACCUCACCAGUCAUUAGGAAGUACAUUCAGCAGUAAAGAACUUUUUUGUAGAAGUACAAUUAGAAUUAACAGCAUUGAACUUCAGUCCUAUAUGUGCUACAUUUGACAUUUUGAGAACAUGAAAGCAUUGUCUACCAGGAUCUCCAUCAGAUUUUGACCAUGGACAUUGGUGAUGAGCUGAUACAGAGUACCUCAAUGUUAUCCAUGACAUUGUUGACUUGGAGGACUUGCCUAUGAACAUCUUCUGAGAAAUUUUCCAGCAGAGCAAGAUAGUGAAAGACCUUCAUGGAAACAUGGAGAAAAGGUUCCUUGAGGUCUUCUCCUUUUCUGAGUUGUCUGAAGACAAUUAAAAACAAAAGAAAUUUUAUAAUUAAUUAUUGAAGAAUUUAAAGCUUGGAAUCCAUGAAAAUUAUACUAAGGGUCUGAGAUUUCUCUUUUUUCACAUCUCUAAGUCUGGAAGUGAGAUGAAUACCUGUCAGAGUAUGCAUCUUCAAUGAAAGAGAAAUAGAAGUCAAAGUGAGAGCAAAGGACAUGUGGCAAACUCUGGUUCUUUUGGAACAUAUGCAGAAAUGGGGCACUCAGGUGGUGUAUAUAACUGGGUGGUGUAUAUAACAGCCUAUUGAUGAGUAAGGCAUGCAGUAGCUUAAAUAAUCUGACGGAAAGUUUCUCCUCUUUGUAACUAAAUAGAGCCUGAAACUACCAGAGGAUGAGGAAGAAAGGGAAAAAAUGAACAGAAGGAGGCAAAGUUUAAGACUCUGCAAUCUCAUAAUGAAUAUCUUAGAAUAGAAGGUUGAGAAGGUGAGAAUCUCAUGUAGGCUUGUGUCUUCAACGUGCUACACUGUUACAAGCAACUAUGGCUAGACAUCUGACAUGGACUGGAACAUAGAUACACAUCAGCAAUGUGUUAAAUAAUGGCCAGAAAGCACCUGGAAAUCAAUACUGAACAACCAGUUGAGGAGACUCAGCUGUAGAAAGCUGAGGCAGACAAAAUGAUAAAACUAUCAAUGUUCUGGUGCUGCUGCUCUUUGAAACUGCAUUGCCAUCCACUGGUUUCUCACUUGAAAAUUCUCAAACCACUUCA
rnacentral:lncRNA from 1 species